CACGUAGGGCGCGAGCGUUGUCCGGAAUUAUUGGGCGUAAAGAGCUCGUAGGCGGCCUGUUGCGUCCGCUGUGAAAGCCCGGGGCUUAACCCCGGGUCUGCAGUGGAUACGGGCAGGCUAGAGGUAGGUAGGGGAGAAUGGAAUUCCCGGUGUAGCGGUGAAAUGCGCAGAUAUCGGGAGGAACACCAGAGGCGAAAGCGGCGACCUGGACAGGUACUGACACUCAACUGCGAAAGCGUGGGGAGCAAACAGG
rnacentral:rRNA from 1 species